UCCGUACAGUUUACAGUUUGUCCACUGGAUGGCGACAGCAGCUUUUCAUCGAAAAAAAAGACGACAAAGAAGAAGGGGAAGAAGGCUUGGCGUUGAUUAGACAAAGCUAAUAUUAAUGGUAUAUGACAUACUAAUCUAAUCGAGCAUAACUGACACAGGACUGUCCAUAGAGCUGGAGCUGUUUGCUAACUCUCUCUCGUUGUUUUGGGCUUUUGGACUGUGAGAUUAUGGACGUGAUCAGGUGUUUACGUUCUCUUCUGGACCUCCAUGUUCAGCUGCAGAGAGCUGUAGCCCUUCAAGGAGAAAUCCAGGCCCAAUUUCUUGCUCAGCUUUUACAUCCAGACAACGUAAGCCCUCGGCAGCUGCCUCUUCCACAGCUGGACUUAACCGGGGACGAUUUGGAGCUUUCGCUGUCUGUCUUUGAACGUGCCCUGGAUGACAGCAAACUCCCAAUGAAGCAGUGGGGUUCGAGGCUAGCACAGCUCCUCUGUGUGAAGACAUCAGAUGAGGAUGAUCAUGAGCUGAGUUAUGAAGCUGUAAAAUUAGAUGUCAGGAGGCAGGCAUGUUCACUGGAGUAUCAGAGGUGGAGGGACUUUAACAAAGUCCAGUAUGAUCCUCAUAAGGGGGUGCGGGAGCUGAAAUUUGGGGUGGAGGAAGCAGCAAAGAAAUGGCUCCAGCCUGAAAGGUGCAGCUCUGAGGAAGUGGUGAGAAAAGUGGCCCUGCAGAAGUUCCUCUCCCUUCUUCCACCAGAUGCGAUUGACAAGACAAACGAGGAGCAGCCGCAGAACAUGGAGGAGGCUGCCGUCAUAGCGGCAUCCUUGCUAGAAAAUGACAGGGAUGAAUGGAACAGAGACGGGGAGAGACAUGACGAAUCACAGACUGAUCAUGGCUACUCAAGGGAUCAUAUCAUCUCAAAUGAGCAGAAGAAGCUGGACUCGGAGACAGUUUUCCCAUCUGAGAGCCACAGCCUGGAAGUUACUGUUGGAGAUGAGCAUUUUGAAGAGAAGGAACUUUCUGAAGCUAUGCUUUCCCCAUCGAUGGUUGACAUAAAGCCAAUACUAAAUGCUGAAGACAUGCCUUCCAUUAGAAAUGAUUCUCAAGUUCUGCUUCACAGACCCUGCUAUAGUGGCGAAUCUAUGAAGUCUUCACCAAGGCGAGCUAAUAAGAAUGGGAACAUAAGCACAGGACCGAAAUUAAAGCGCGCACUUGAGUGUACAGACUGUGGUAGCAAGUUCAAGAGGUUUGACUACCUAAGAAAGCACACAUGUACUCCUGGGCAAAGUCUGGGGUGCCAACACUGCGAUCUGCGCUUCCCCUCCCUCUCUCAGUUAACUAACCACCUGCGUGUGCAUCGGAAAAUGUUACACUGUCCUGAGUGCAACAAGGCUUUCAGAGACCGCUUUAACCUCCGCUGCCACCAGCGCACACACACAGGUGAAAGGCCUCAUAUCUGUGCUGACUGCGGCUCUGCGUUUGCACAGGAGCGUGGGCUACAGGAGCACCGCAACAUCCACACCGGCGAGAGACCCUUCCAGUGCCCAGUGUGCAGGAAAGGCUUCAGCCACAGCCGCACGCUUGCCAAACACGUGGUUGUCCACUCAGAAGCAAGGCCUUAUAUGUGCUCUGACUGUGGCAGAGCUUUUAAGAUUAAAGACAACCUGCAUCAGCAUCAAAAGAAAAUGCAUCCCAGCAAAUACUUGUGAACAGACCCUAUAGCUCAAACACUACUGAAUGAGUCAUGCAAUUUACAACAGAAAAGUGGUACAAUAUACACGUUAUAAUGCCAGAGAUGUUUCCGCACAGACAGCCUUUAAAAAUGGCUUUAACAAAAGAACAUUGAAAGCAUUCUCCUGGCUGGAUCGGGAAGCUAUCACAAGAUUUCGAUGGACUUUAACAAGAAACAUUUGACCCUGUUGCCAAACUUGGAUCUAAACUUGGGAGAGAUGCCACUGUGUGUGUGUUUACAAAAAUCAUGUAGAGGCUGUUUUGUUAAUAAAGAUUCAAUUUGCUAUAAAGAGUUCAUUUCACUUAUGGAGACUUCUGUUACACACUUCUGUUAUAGUUUUGUGUUUCAGUUAUGAAGCUGUGGCAGUGUAUCAUUGUGUUUAUUUGGGCAUGCGCUUAAAAUGCAAGCAUCCGUUCAGAAGAUUAUUCAACUCAAAUGUAAGAUUCAUAAGAAUAUUCUGUGCUGUUUGGUGACUUUCACUAGAUUAACAGUAAACCUGACCCCGAGUGAGUGCAUUUUGAAGCAAAUCGUCAUGGUCAGACACCACGGUGUUAUUUAGUAAGUUAUUUAAAGGUAUAAAUGCUGA